UACAGAGGUCCCGAGCGUUGUUCGGAUUCACUGGGCGUAAAGGGUGCGUAGGUGGCGAGGUAAGUCGGAUGUGAAAUCUCGGAGCUCAACUCCGAAACUGCAUUGGAAACUACCUGGCUAGAGGUUUGGAGGGGGGACUGGAAUGCUUGGUGUAGCGGUGGAAUGCGCAGAUAUCAGGAGGAACACCGGUGGCGAAGGCGGGAUCCUGGGCCAGUACUGACGCUGAGGAGCGAAAGCGUGGGGAGCAAACAGG
rnacentral:rRNA from 1 species